UCUUAUUCCCCCAGUCCCUAAACUGCUGCCUCUCCAGGGCCAGGAGGUCACCUUUGUCUCAGUCAGGGUGGAGGGCCCCUCCACUGCCUCCAAGCCCUGCAGGAACUGGCCGGUGUCCCAGGCUCUGUCCUUCUACGGAAUCCAGCCACACAUCAGUAUGGCUCAGUCCACAGAGCUAGACGCAGGAUUCCAGGGCCCUGACCCAGUUUCUGCCUAGUCUCUAGACAUACCAGGCUCUGCCAUCUGCCAGCAGUCUGAAGUGCUGGUGAUGGGUGGCAAGGUUGGCCACUCCUCCCCCUUCAGGCCGCCAGGGACUCUGCAGCUCCGAAGAGGCAGCCCAGGGGACAGGCUGGAGACAUUUCUGUGUCUCCUUCAGAAAGACUCUUGGAUCUAGUCUGUGGGCGACACAUGGUACCUAAUGAUGCUGUGAAGAUGCCAGGGGAACCCUGCUGGGUUCACAGAGAUGCCGACCACCACAUUGCCAGCCUGAGAACCAUGGGAGCUGUGGCUGUGAACACGAGUACUUGAGGUCCUGAAGCGCCCCCAUCCAGGGAAAGAAGACAGCACUCCCAAUUACCGUCUUAAGGCUCCCGGCACAUACCAGGUGUGGUCUACUUGUGCCAGAAGCGACCAGAAAUAUGAGAUGGUUCCUUUUAGUGGGUAUGCGCCCGUGUUUUGAACAAGAGUGGAAUUAACAAGUGCUUUGGCUAAGGACCCCUGUUCCAGGAAGAAUGGAAGGAGCCAACAUGCAGGGGAAAAGAGCCAGCCAGGGGCCAUGAGAACUGGGCUGUGACCGCGCCAAGGCUCAAAGAUGACGUUGGCCCCAGAGUGGAACAUCACAGCUAAAUUAAGCACCCUGUAGCCCGAUGUCCUGGCCUCGGCCCUCACUACCUCGAUAGAAAUUUAUUUUGGUUUCAUAUAACGGAGAGGAAGAGAAACAAACAAGAGCCCGAGCCUGGCUCUAGGCAUGUUUAGAAGGGAGAUCAGGAAAGAGCUCAGUCCUGGGAGGGAGGAGGGGGCACAGUGAGAGGGGCUGAAGGAGGGAGCACCAGGGUCCUCAGAGGUCAAGGUGAACUCCAGAGAGGGAGCCCACUUUCCCCGCUGAUGGGCUGCCAAAGUAACACUAUGAUGUCCCCCUUCCCCCAGCUGCUCAGGAGUAUACUAGACUAGCCUUAGACAGGACCACCCUGCUGCAGAAAAGACCCACUGCAUUCCCAGUUUCCAACAUGAGCCCUGGUGGCAGAUAACCCUAGCCUGUUCUUAGCUUGGGGCCCCAACUGCAGCCUUGUCUUCUGAGAGUAGAGGUGAGAUGAUCCCUUUGACUGUUGGGGCAUUCAGCAAGAUCUCAGAGCUCAAGUUGCCCUCAGGGCUGAGCAGGCAACGGUCUGUGCACAUUUCUUCUUCCCACAGCCACCUGCAGAAGAGACGUCAUCUCCCACUGCUCUGGGAGCAGAGGGCGAAGACCGUCAGGGACUGAGUUAUUCCAGGGGCUGCUGGUCCUUACAGCUGGCCAAGUCACUUGGCCCCCUGUGAGGUUUAUCUCACGAUGCCUGAGCCACCCUGGGGAACUCAAGGACAAAAUUAAACCCUGAGCAGCCCACAGGCCUGAGCUAGCUGCUGGGAACAGGUUUCCCACACACACAAAUCCGUUCCAAGCAGAGCUGCGAGCCUGCUAUUGCUCACCAGCUGGAGGGAGGACCUCAAGCCAGAGCAGAAUGUGCAGACCCAGCUCCUUCCCCUGGGACUAGGUAGGCUGUGUGGGACCCUACUGGUCCUGCUGGACACAGCAGCUCCUGCCAACACUGCUUAGCUACAUGGGAACAUCCUCUGCCAUUCCUGUAUAACUCGGGGCGGGGGGAGGGGGGGAGUCAGAGAUCUAGCCAGCCACCAUGGAGUCAUGCUUGCAGGGACCAAGUUCUGAACAUGCAGCUGUCACUCAUUUGGCAUCUCUGCAGGGACAGCCAGCCGUAGGGCAGCUGCUGUGGGUUUCAGCUUCCACCCUCAAUCUUGCGCCCCAGGGAGCUUAAGGGGCCAGAGAUGCAGCAGCGCCCACCGUAGAGUGCCAGACAGACAUGAUCUGCUGUGAAAGGCUCUGGGCUUGCUGGGCUGAGGAUGCUGGGUCGUGGGUAUGAAGUUGGGCUUGGAACCUAGGGAAGGGCCAGAAAUUUUGAUGUCCCAAGGGUGGGCUGUAUCCUUUUCUCUGCACAUGGAAAGGGUGGAACAAGAUGCUUCCAUUUUGGACCCUUCUGGUGCUAUGAGGGAGAUGCUGCUAUCCUAAAGUCACAGGAGAGGAACCCAGGCCCUCUGAGGACCUUCCAGACCAAGCCAUGAGGAGCCCAGAUAUGAGGCCUCCAUUCUACAAGGAAGCACACCCUUGUUCUGAGGAAGGGACACUGUAAAGUCAGAGGAUCCCCAGCUCCUGUUGGGAGCCUCAGUUCCAGUCCUCUGCUGGGUGCUCCUAACACUCUUAGAUAAUACCACUGUGCUGUAGACUCAGAGACCAGAGUUGAGCAAAUGGGCAGGACCCUGACCACACAGCAAGGCCAAGACAGUCUGCACUUCCACAUCUGGAAACACUUGGGCGUGUCCAUGCUGUAGAUGACAGUGGGCUACCUUU